ensembl:lncRNA
GAACUAGCAGGUAUCAUAGCCUAUCAGCAGUCGUGGCUAACCAAAAGGUAAAUCACUAAAGCCAAGUAGGCAGAUAAGAGUUGUUUUUUUUGUUUGUUUGUUUGUUUGUUUUUGUUUUUGGCUGGACAGGUUUGCUUUUACUGCCUACCUGCUGAAGACAGCAUUCAGACUCUUAGGUAGUAAUUUCAGUUCUUAAAGAAUGGAGUCCACUAGCUUCUAGAUGCUUUUAUUUUUUAUUUUGUUUUUAAUCCAAGGGAUAACAGCAGCAGAAAUCCAGAGGUGUUUACAUGUAUCUCUUUACUGGAAGGGAAAAAAGGAAUUUGCUUGCGACUUUAUAGGGCUCAGAUUUGCUACUAUACUUUGACUGUAAAAGUAACUCCUAUUUCAUUAGCAUAACAAGUCUUUACUGCUCUUGACUUGUUUCUUAGAUGCAAAUGUGAGAGAAUAGAAAAACCCACAUUUCAGUCUCUGAUUUCCUCUCUGAAGAGGGAUUUCCUUCCACCUUACAGUAACACGUUCUACCUGCAUCUGUUCUAGUCUAAUCCAGGAAACUGAGAACCAAGCACAUGUAAUAGGAGGCCUAAUAAAUUGUUUGAGCAAGGGAUCUUUGAACUAAGUUUAGUUUCUAUAGGAAUUCAUUUCGUUAGCAGUCAGACCCACAUCGAACUCUGACCCAAACCUCUCCUUUCAUCUUGCUAAAGAACAAAGUUUAAAUGGGAGAGGUCUUGUCUCCUUACUAUCAGAGCAAUCACACUAUCCCCUUUUCUUGAAAGGUUUGUCCUCCUUACACUUAAAGGAGAGUAUGGAUGAUGUGUAUGUCCUUAUGAAAUUGCAAGUGUAUGUGGGUGGAGGAAACAAAAAUGAUUUUCAUGCUUCUGUUGUUAUGAAGUCCUUAUUUCAUACUUGGUAAAAUAGAUCUUAAUAAUAUAAGCCGAAUAUUUUUUAAGUGGUGAUUUAAAUAUGUUUGUAACAUUUAAAUGUUUUUAAAUCAUGUAAAAAGUUGAAUUGAAGCCUAUGAAAUCCUGCUUGUGAUUGUCCUGCUGAUUGAGGAAUGCCCAGUGGUAUUGUGAAAUGAGGCAAAUCUGACAAGGCAUUUAUUUAUUUUUGUAUUAAGAUCCCCACAUUUUGUUGAGGAGACAACUGUUUGAUUUGCAAAUGAUUUUCCUUGUGUCCAUAUACUUUCUUCAAUGUGUUUUGGAUGACUGGCUGAAGAAGAGUGAAGAACUAGUAUACCAAAUGGUUAAUUCUUUAAUCUGCUUGUGUAUUUGUGUCAUUUUUAGAGGAUGUUAAUUUCUAUAAAUUGGUUUC